rnacentral:lncRNA from 1 species
GGACCUCGCCCCCGAUUCCAAUUGCAGGCAGACUUCGUCCGGACUCCUACGAGAGCCGGACUUCAUCCCCGAUUUUAAUUGCAGGUGGACUUCACCCGGACUCCUACGGCAGUCGGACCUCAUCCCUAGCUCUGGCUGCAGGAAGACUCCGUCCAGACUCCUACGGGAGCCGGACUUCACCCCCAACUUCAACCGCAGGCAGACUUCGUCCAGACUCCUACGGGAGUCGGACU